GCCUAGGCCCCGCCGCUGCGCACCCUGGGAAAUGUAGUCCGUAUUGCGCCAGGCAGGAAGGUGGUGCCUUCCGGAGGAGGCCGGGAGCACGUGGAUUGGGGACAGGUGGGCCCUGCCUUCCUGGGCCUGCCGCGGCCAAAGGGCAUUCCGGGUCGGACCGGUGGUGGGGCGCUCCGGCACAACCUCCUAGGAGGAUGAGACUCAAGAGAGCCUGUGGAUGGAGGUGGGAGCCCAGGCUAGAGGAUCAGGGACUUGGGGAGCCCAGGUCACUCUUGUGCUCCGCCGCGGGGGCAUUCUUGGUCUAGGAAAGGCUAAGUCUGGGAAGAAGACGUCAGCACCACCCAGAGAAGAAAAAAAGGGGCUUGACAUGUCCCCUGAUAGUCCGCAGAACUGGACUCAGGAAUAAAAACAAGAGGGCACUUCAAUCACCCAGUAAGCAACCAGAAAACUACAUACCAUGGACAGAGCUCAGAGUAUUUCAUAAGGUUUGGAAGCAACUUCUCUUUAUGUGUAAGUUUAGACAUUAUCCUAAGGGUAGCUCACUUUUAAGGGCUAGGAACAGUACUUUGCAUAUCUUAGGUUCAAUUCUCUCAGUGUCUCUAGGGUGGGUAUUUUUAUUCAGCAUUUUCAGAUGAGAUGAGUAAACAGAGGUUGUGGAAAGUUAAGCUUAUCUUGCCCCUGGGUAUACAGUUGGGGUAGCAGAGUCUAGCCACAGUUCUAGUCGUGCACAGGCCCCGAUUCUCACUCCUCUAGUUGUCCUUUUAUUAACUCCUGUCGGCUACCGGGAAGUUAGUUUUUUUUCUUUCAGGGAAGAAAAAAACUGAAAGUGGAAAGAGUUCUGCAGUUGUGUUCAAAUGGAGGAAACUGGCAUUGGCAGUAGCUGCUGAGGCCUGAGAAGGUUGAUGAAGGCUUCUCUGAGGAGGGGAAACCUGAUCUGAGCUUGAAGAAUAGAGAGAGCCUGGGAAGGAGAGGAGCUCACUUAGCUGGGCUCCUUCUCCUCACUACUAAGGGUUCCACUGGCAGAGAAGGAAGCCAAGUCUCACCAGCAAUGGGUCCUGAACAUGCCACUUAGGAUGGAUGGAUUGAAGUAGGCCCUGGGGAGAGCUGGGGGCAUUCCUGGAGGCCAGAUAAAAGGCGAUCUAUGGGAGAUGUGGAUGGCAGUGCAGGAUAGCUUAAGAGCCAAGAUGCUGGCAUGAAUAUGGAGAGAAGAGAACACUUUUACACUACUGGUGGGACUGCAAACUAAUAAACCUUUUUGGAAGGAAGUAUGGAGAAUCUUCAAAGAAUGCAAAUUAGACCUCCCAUUUGAUCCUGUAAUCCCAUUACUAGGCAUCUACUCAGAAGAAAAAAGAAAUCAUUUUAUCAUAAGGUCAUUUGCACUAGACUGUUUAUUGCAGCUCAAUUUACAAUUGCCAAAAUGUGGAAACAACCUAAAUUCCCACCAACCCAGGAAUGGAUUAAUAAACUGUGGUGUAUGUAUAAUGUGGAAUACUAUUCAGCCACUAAAAAAGAUGGAGACUUUACAUUUUUUGUAUUCACCUGGAUGGAGUUGGAACACAUUCUUCUUAGUAAGGUAUCAUAAUAAUGGAGAAGCAAGAAUCCAAUGUAGUCAAUUAUAAUAGAAAGCCAGUAGACAAUCUAAUACACACACACACACACAUAAGAGAAAAAAAUCAAAAGGGUGCAGGGAGGGAAAUGAGGGAGAGGGUGGGUGUGCUCCCACUUAAUGGACACAAUGUUAGGGUGUAUGGCACACCUCUUGGGGGUGGGACACAAUUAUAAGAGGGACUUUACCUAACAAAUGCAAACAUUGGAACCUAAUUCUCUGUACCCUGAAUUAACCUGAAACAAAAAAACAAAUAACAGUAGAGAGUGCUAAGUGGGGACCUGAAAAAAAUCCUAGGAUUUUGUCAUCAUUCUUCAUAUUUUGGUCAUAUUCAGAGAUCCAAGCUGUUAAAUAAGUGAUCCCUGGAUGAGUAAGGUAAUAAAAUAAGCUUUUGCCAUAAUUUAGAUAAAGCACUCAUAUUUUACAAAAUAAUAUUUCAUUUAUGUUUCAGG